rnacentral:lncRNA from 1 species
GUCAGACCCAGGACGUUGGGGACACUUGGAGCCUGGGGAGGAGCAGCUUCUGCAGGGCGCUCCCCACCCCGCCGUGGGAAUGCUGCAGACUUGACAGCCCGCCUUUGGGAAAGGGCCAGCCACCACGCCACCCUGCUGCAGGGCCCCGGGCUUCCCAAGGUGGAGGUGACGCCGGCCAGGGGCGGGGCAAGCGACAGGUGUCCCCACUCACCUCCUGCCACUGCCCGGCCCUCCAGGCGAAGCGCGGGCAAGGCGGGCUCUCGCAGGCGCGCUCCGACGCGGGUCUGGCAAAGAGGUCGCACUGGGUGUCGCGCGCUGGUCUGUGCGUCCCGAUCUGACAGCUCACGCGCCUCUGCUGCACGCCGGGGCCACAGGACGCCGAGCACUGGGAAGACAGAGGACGAGAAAAGGCUCCCAUGUCUCCAGUCCAUUGGGAAGAGGUGCAAAAGGCCAAUGGAAAACCGGAAGAUAGCAGCCUCCAGAGCUGCUGUGAUGACAGGUGCGCACCACCAUACUCGGAGACAAUUUCUUAAUCAUUAAGAAGCCAGUGAAUAACCCGUGUGUCUGCCUGGGUGAGAA